UACAGGGGGUGCAAACGUUGCUCGGAAUCAUUGGGCGUAAAGCGCACGUAGGCGGUUCGUUAUGUCGGAUGUGAAAGCCCUUGGCUUAACCGAGGAAGUGCAUCCGAAACUGGCGAGCUAGAGUACGAAAGAGGAUCGCGGAAUUCCCGGUGUAGAGGUGAAAUUCGUAGAUAUUGGGAAGAACACCGGUGGCGAAGGCGGCUCACUGGCUCGUAUCUGACGCUCAGGCGCGACAGCGUGGGGAUCAAACAGG
rnacentral:rRNA from 1 species